AUUGAACGCUGGCGGCAUGCCUUACACAUGCAAGUCGAACGGUAACAGGUCUUCGGAUGCUGACGAGUGGCGAACGGGUGAGUAAUACAUCGGAACGUGCCCGAUCGUGGGGGAUAACGAAGCGAAAGCUUUGCUAAUACCGCAUACGAUCUAUGGAUGAAAGCAGGGGACCGCAAGGCCUUGCGCGAACGGAGCGGCCGAUGGCAGAUUAGGUAGUUGGUGGGAUAAAAGCUUACCAAGCCGACGAUCUGUAGCUGGUCUGAGAGGACGACCAGCCACACUGGGACUGAGACACGGCCCAGAGUCCUACGGGAGGCAGCAGUGGGAAUUUUGGACAAUGGGCGAAAGCCUGAUCCAGCCAUGCCGCGUGCAGGAUGAAGGCCUUCGGGUUGUAAACUGCUCUUGUACGGAACGAAAAGACUCUGGUUAAUACCUGGGGUCCAUGACGGUACCGUAAGAAUAAGCACCGGCUAACUACGUGCCAGCAGCCGCAGUAA
rnacentral:rRNA from 1 species